CUUUUGACGAACUCUUUGUUUAUCCGAAAAUGGAGUCAAAUUAAUUGCUCUUAUGAAUCUCUCAUAGUAUACCAUAGUUAUAAUGAUGAUUCACGUUAUAGGAUGAAAUUCUUAAUUGGCUAUCCACAAUCAUUAAUGAGUUCACAAGAAAUGACGGCUUCGCAAUUUAUGUUGGGUGAUGUACAUGGACGUUCGUUUAGGUUUUUAGACCCAGUAACAAAUCCAGACACUUCAUACCUCCUAGGUUCUAGUAAUGGACUGGUCUUAUGUGCAUCCAAUAUAUCGGAAUACUUUGUAUGUAACCCGCUCACCAGACAAUGGGUUGUACUUCCUUCAACUCCCACGCCAGGUGCAGAAGCUGAUACCGUUUUUACCUUGAAUUCAAUUCAUCAAUUGAUUGUAGUUACAAGGUUGUUAGAGUCCAUACAAUUAAGAAGAACAAAUUCAAUAUUGAAAUAUUUUCUUCUGAUGCGGGUAAAUGGGAGGUCCAUAAUGUUUCACGGCAUAAGGAUUUCAUUGGGCAGAGUGUAGAAAAUUACUGGCCUAUAAUCUGAAUAACAACAGUAAAUUGAAACUGGUGGCCAGCAAUGUCGGUUGAUUGACUUCCUGUCACAGAAUUGGAAGUUUGUAAUGGUGAAAGCGGUAAUUAUUAUCUUGGGGAUUUAGAUGGUUUGCUAUGUUAUGCUAGAUUUUUGACAAUCCAAAAGACGUUGGAUGUUUGAGGAGGGCUGGAGUUUUCUGUACAAGGAUAUUGAUUUGCGUGAUCUCGUUGCAAAAAUGUUUGGAAGAUUCCAUGUGAAUGCCCAUGAAGAUUCGGAUGGAGAAGAAAAUGAAGACUUUUACGGAGAAGAAAAUGAAGGCUUUGACGAAGCAGAAAGUAAGGCUAUUGAUGAAGUAAAGAUUUUAGGUUUCAGUCCGGAGAAUACGAAUAUCAUCUUGUUCAGUUAUCAUUUCAUUGUUUGGGUUUACAACAUUGACACCAAGAGCUACAAAGAGCUCAUUGAGCCUUCAUUUGUGGCCAACAUGCAUACAGGUUACAACUAUAAUGACUGUGAAACUCGCUAUCAUGUCCAAGAUCCAUUUCUUUUAAAGGCGAUGCCAACAAUACUUCCACCACCUUCAUGGGAAAGCACAUCGGGCAAUGCACAAUUUGUCUAUUUAGUUAUUUUUUCGUUCUUCAAACUUAAAUAACAGUUGUGCUUCUUGAAGAGCCAAAUUUUAGUAUGGUUGAAUCCCCGGGGAUGAUGAUGGGUAAACCAGUAAUAGAUCCAACUUUGUAUGGGCAACAACCUCAUCCAUACAUGCCUCCUCAAUGUGGCCACAAUCACCUGCGCAACAGCAGCAGCAACAACAACAACAGGCAGAUUCUUGAAGACCCAAACUUAAGAUAUAGUAUUAGUUUGUCUAUUCACUUGUUUUUCUUUUCUCUUCUUGUAAGCAUAAUUAUUAAGAGCUCAACCAUGUGCAUCUGGAAGAACCAAAUUUUAGUCUAGUAGUUGAUUUUUUACUGCUUUUGGUACUAUGAUAUUUCCUUAUUUCCUUUUAAUCAAGUGUUAUUAAGUACUU